rnacentral:tRNA from 1 species
CAGAGAGUAGUUUAAAAAAAAUGUUAGUUUUGGGAAUUAUCGAUAAGAGGAAACUCUUCUCUCUGA